rnacentral:tRNA from 1 species
AGUCCUGUAGCUCAAUGGUAGAGCAUUUGCCUUACAAGCAAGGGGUUGCAGGUUCAAAUACUGUCAGGACUACCA